GGGUUUUUUCUCGGAGCUAGAGAAUGAAGCAGAGGAUAAGAAGAAGCAAUUCAUAGAAAAGUACAACUUCGAUAUUGUCAAUGACGAACCGCUUCAAGGUCGCUACAAGUGGGAUCGUCUACUUUAACCCAUGAUGAUGAUUAACAUCCGAAGGAAGAAGCUGAAGCUGAAGCUGCAGGACAUUUUUUUUUUUGUUUCUUCGUUUACAUAAUUCCACUUGUGUACAGCUCUGAUCUCUCUUUUAAAACCUAUGUUAAUUAGUAGCUCGUACAAACAAACAAAAAAACAAAAAAGAUACAACCUUUAUAAUGAAAUAUCGGAUCUUGAUUAGUUAA